rnacentral:rRNA from 1 species
CUCAAAGGAAUUGACGGGGACCCGCACAAGCGGUGGAUGAUGUGGAUUAAUUUGAUGCAACGCGAAAAACCUUACCUACCCUUGACAUGUCUGGAAUUCCGAAGAGAUUUGGAAGUGCUCGCAAGAGAACUGGAACACAGGUGCUGCAUGGCUGUCGUCAGCUCGUGUCGUGAGAUGUUGGGUUAAGUCCCGCAACGAGCGCAACCCUUGUCAUUAGUUGCUACGAAAGGGCACUCUAAUGAGACUGCCGGUGACAAACCGGAGGAAGGUGGGGAUGACGUCAAGUCCUCAUGGCCCUUAUGGGUAGGGCUUCACACGUCAUACAAUGGUCGGGACAGAGGGUCGCCAACCCGCGAGGGGGAGCCAAUCCCAGAAACCCGAUCGUAGUCCGGAUCGCAGUCUGCAACUCGACUGCGUGAAGUCGGAAUCGCUAGUAAUCGCGGAUCAGCAUGUCGCGGUGAAUACGUUCCCGGGUCUUGUACACACCGCCCGUCACACCAUGGGAGUGGGUUUUACCAGAAGUAGUUAGCCUAACCGUAA